GUGUCAGCAGCCGCGGUAAGACGAAGGGGGCUAGCGUUGUUCGGAAUUACUGGGCGUAAAGCGCGUGUAGGCGGUUGUUCAAGUCGGGUGUGAAAGCCUUGAGCUCAACUCAAGAAAUGCACUCGAUACUGGAUGACUUGAGGACCGGAGAGGAUAGUGGAAUUCCCAGUGUAGUGGUGAAAUACGUAGAGAUUGGGAAGAACACCAGUGGCGAAGGCGGCUAUCUGGACGGUUUCUGACGCUAAGACGCGAAAGCGUGGGGAGCAAACAGGAUUAGAAACCCUGGUAGUCC
rnacentral:rRNA from 1 species